AGUCUGUCCUGAUGCUGGUUGCUAACCAGCAUACAGAGAAGACACCAGAGGAAACACUCUCCAAGCUAGUAAAGAGUGAGCUGCGAAGCUCACUAUAGCGAGGAGGGGAAAAUUAACCUGG
rnacentral:ribozyme from 1 species